CAGGCCUAACACAUGCAAGUCGGAUGUGCCGCAAGGUGCAUGGCAGACGGGUGAGUAACGCGUGGGGAAUCUACCUCUUUGUGGGGAAUAACGCUCCGAAAGGAGUGGUAAUACCGCAUGAGACCGUGGACUGGGAUGUCCAUGGUGAAACCUGGGGACCGAAAGGCCUGGGGCAAGGAGAGGAUCCUGCGUCUGAUUAGCUAGUUGGCGGGGUAAUGGCCCACCAAGGCGACGAUCAGUAGCCGGCCUGAGAGGGUGAUCGGCCACACUGGAACUGAGACACGGUCCAGACUCCUACGGGAGGCAGCAGUGGGGAAUUUUGCGCAAUGGACGAAAGUCUGACGCAGCAACGCCGCGUGGGUGAUGAAGGUCUUCGGACUGUAAAACCCUGUCGUCAGGGACGAAGAUGUAUACGUUAAUAGCGUGUGCAUUUGACGGUACCUGGAGAGGAAGCCCCGGCUAACUCUGUGCCAGCAGCCGCGGUAAUACAGAGGGGGCAAGCGUUAUUCGGAAUUAUUGGGCGUAAAGGGCGCGUAGGCGGUUUUUUAAGUCAGAUGUGUAAUCCCCGAGCUUAACUUGGGAACUGCAUCUGAGACUGGAAGGCUAGAGUACUGGAGAGGGUGGUGGAAUUCCUCGUGUAGCGGUGAAAUGCGUAGAGAUGAGGAGGAACACCAGUGGCGAAGGCGGCCACCUGGGACAGUAACUGACGCUGAGGCGCGAAAGUGUGGGUAGCAAACA
rnacentral:rRNA from 1 species